UCUAAGAUCUCAGAAGAUUUCACUCUGGCAACACAUCCUCUACAACAGGUUUUAAUCUGAAUUAAUCGCGUUAAUGGUGAGUCACUACAACUGAAUUCUUUGUUUUCUGUUUGGGUCCUGAGAAUUUUGGGGGUUUUCAAUUUUGGGGUUUUCAAUUUUAGGGUUUUAAUUAUAGAUGGGUGGAGAUUUGGGGAUACCUGCGUUCCCUGAAGAAGACUGCAUUCUUCAAGAGUGAGAUUCAGAGGAGGUUGUUUGUGAUGGCAGUACUGAUCAAUUGUGAUUAGUCGUGUUGGUUAUUUCAUUCCUCUGCCUGGGUUUGAUAGAAGGUUAAUACCUCAGGAUCAGUUGGGUCAUCCAUGUUGUUUAUUUGCAGAUGAGCUCGGUGAUUUUACAGCUGAGCUUAAAAUGUCCUUGUUCCAGCUUGGAAUCAGUCCUCAAAUUAUAGCAUCGAUUAUAAUCACUCCUCCCUCUCUCUCUCUCGUCUGUGCUUUUCUCUCUUGUCUAAUGAACUAGACGAAUGCAAUAGCUAAACAAGGUUCUUUUGCGAAAGGCUAGGAACCAGUAUACUUGGAAAGGGUUUGGGGCAAUCCCUAAUGCUUUACAGGAGCUAAAGGAAGAGGGUCUGAAAGAGAACUUCAAUACUUUCCAAGGCAAUUUCCAGGGCAAUGAUGAUCCAAAAUGUUCGCAGGGUUCAGAUGAUGAGAGUGGU